UAGGGAAUCUUCCACAAUGGACGAAAGUCUGAUGGAGCAACGCCGCGUGAGUGAAGAAGGGUUUCGGCUCGUAAAACUCUGUUGUAAGAGAAGAAUGACAUUGAGAGUAACUGUUCAAUGUGUGACGGUAUCUUACCAGAAAGGAACGGCUAAAUACGCGCCAG
rnacentral:rRNA from 1 species